rnacentral:rRNA from 1 species
UACGUAGGGUGCAAGCGUUAAUCGGAAUUACUGGGCGUAAAGCGUGCGCAGGCGGUUUUGUAAGUCUGUCGUGAAAUCCCCCGGGCUCAACCUGGGAAUUGCGAUGGAGACUGCAAGGCUAGAAUCUGGCAGAGGGGGGUAGAAUUCCACGUGUGAGCAGUGAAAUGCGUAGAGAUGUGGAGGAACACCGAUGGCGAAGGCAGCCCCCUGGGUCCAAGAUUAGAGCUCCAUGGCACGAAGCCGUGGGAGCAAA